UAUUUCCUGCCGUCUACGA
rnacentral:misc_RNA from 1 species